UGUAAUUAACUGCUAGUAUAGCUUAUUACGGUGUAUUAUCCUGUACGUUCUACUAUGGUGUGUAAUGUGUUGCAAUAUUAUAUCUUCUAUAAUUAUUGUCUAUCUUUAUAUAUUCAUUCAAUGUUUUAAAAUAUUUAUUGUAAAACAGAAAUAUUUUUUUCAAUGUUUCAUAUAUUUUUUCUAUCUUUUGAAAUAUUUAUUGUAAAACUAAAAAAAAAAUAUGAUGUGACAAAAAAAAAAUUUCUUUUAUUUUUUUCAAAUUAUUUGUUCAAUCCUACAAAUAUUUUAUUCGAUGCAAUGAUAAUAAUUGUGUGUACAACGUAAAUGGCCAUUCUAUCUGCUUAAAAUAUUUGUUCGAAAGAAUACUGGGUAAAUUGCUAUUUUACGGACAUCCCUAUUCUGCGGUCAUGCAGCCAAAUUUAAUUACCUCAGUGAUAAAACAAUUACAUGUAUUUUAUGCUUAUUACUGAUUUUAGAGGGUAUAGAUCAUAUCAGCGAUAACAGAAAUGUACCAAACAAGAGCUUCGCCUAGCGGGGCAAUAUACGCCCGAAAGAUUUUUUAGAGCAGGAGGGAAACAAAAUUUAAAGAAGACACAUAUCUAAAGAUUUUUUGGCGGGGCAUGUGAGGGAUUGGGAGGGGAGGGGGAGAAGGAUGUGUGUGUGUGCGGUACUGGUGACAGGAGACAGUUUACUAAAAAGCAAGAAACGAAAUAAAAAAAAUGCAGGGUGCGGGAGUGGUUGGGGUUUGGAUGUGACAGAACACUAAAGGGCAAGAGGCUAAAUGAAAAAAUGGGAAAAAACAAGAGAAAAAAUAGUUGGUGGGGCAUGGGGUUGGUGGGGCAAGGGGGCGGGGGUACAAUGUAGAUUGGAGUGGGGGUGUAAAUGAAAAUAAAGAUGUUGAUUUUUUGUGGGCCGGGGGAUGUAUAUGCUCUGGACAUGACAUAUGAUGGGGAGAUUUGACCUUGCUGUGACCUUGACCUUUGACCGUCCACCCUGUUUAAGCACUGCACAUUGUCUUAUCACCACAUACCUACACCCCAAGUUUGAAGUCGAUACCUUGAAUAGUUAAUAAGUUUUUUUUUUCCGGACAUGAAAUUAAACUUACAAAUUUCAUCUUUGAGCUCAAUUUGUGACCUUGACCUUUGAUCUUCAGAGCCGGUUUAAGUACUCUGUACAUUGCCUUAUCGCCACCUAAGAACUUGCCAAGUUUGAAGUCAAUACUUUGCAUGGUUUAGCGAUAGGAAAUAGGCGCUUCCGCAUAAUCGGUAUGUGUCGCGCACUAAACUGUUUACGUAUGCACCGGUUAACAACAUCGAUGUGUUCCGGCACUCGCAGUCAGAAAGAAGCUGUGUGUUCACUGUUGGCACAUUGAAUGAUUGACAGCAUUGGAUAAAUAAUGCUCUAUUGGAUAAAUACGUAAAGUACAUUGGACAGCUGAGAUUGUGGUGUGGACAGCUGAGAUUGUGUUUUGGACAGCUGAGAUUGUGACUUGGACAGCUGAGAUUGUGGUAUGGACAGCUGAGAUUGGUGUGGACAGCUGUGAUUGUGGUGUUGACAUCUGAAAUUGGGAUUUGGACAGCUGAGAUUGUGACUUGGACAGCUGAGAUUGUGCUGUGGACAGCUAAAAUUGUGGUGUGGACUACUGAUAUUGUGGUGUUGACAACAUAUUGUGGUGUGCACCUGUGAUAUUUUGGUGUGAUGGUUUAAAGUAGCAAAGGUAAAGAACGUUUGACAGCUUAGAUUGUGGAGUGGACAGCUGAUAUUGUGGUGUGGACAGCUGAGAUUGUCAUGUCGGCUAAUUAUAUUGUGGCUUGCAGAGCUGAUAUUGUGGUGUGAUGGUUUAAAGUACUAAAGGUAUGAAGCAUGUAUUAUAUUAUUACAUUUCAUUAUAGUUUGACUAUACAAAGAAGAGC